rnacentral:tRNA from 2 species
GGGCCGUUAGCUCAGUUGGUAGAGCAGGAGACUCUUAAUCUCAAGGUCGUAGGUUCGAGCCCUACACGGCCCA